GUUCAAUCUGGGACCCGUAGCGCUACCGGGCCACACCUGAGUCACCUGCACCCUGGCUAGGAAGGAGGUAGAGAAAUGGAUCACUGGAAUCAAGAGUCAGAGCUGCAAUUCAUAAGGUGCAGGAACUGGGGUAGCUAAGCACAGCAAUGUGGUCUCCUAUCCUCUCAGUGUCAAUGACAAAAGUCGGUGCCCAACAGUGCCCUGCCAUGACUGCCACUGCCACCACUUGGACCCCAGAGAACAGAGAUGGUGUUAGAUGCUCGCAGCUGGGGAAGAGGCAUGAAAUAUCUGUGAUAAUCUCCACGUAACUUUCCUGAGGAAAACACCAGACAGAACCAGCUUGCCAGAGCCGGCCAAACCCUUGCGGGACAGCAGCACCCUGAAGACAUGGGGUCUCAGGAGGGGGUGUGAAGUCUCCCAGGCCAGACAGAACCUUGAGGCAACUGCACACACCAGCUAUGCUUAACACCUGGGACCAAGAGCGAGCAGAGGAGAUUUCCCAGGUAACAACUGUUAUAAAUUGCAGGUCGGCUAGAGCAGAGAGUGAGCAGGCUGAGAAAAUCACAGCACACCAUGCCUUGGGGGAAACAAGCAACUGCAGGAAGAAGACAAAGCAGAACACUCAGUGAGGGUUCCUGGAAAACAGAAUGGUCAGAGGAGACAACAGCUUUAAUGAAAAGUAAGAACACUUAAAGAGACUCCUUUCAAACAUAAAACGUCAGGCAACUAAAAAGCAUGGUUUUCAAACAACUGCCUACAUUCAUACAAAAGAGGAUGGUCACUUUUGGGAGCUAAUCUGCAGUCUAGAAAACAUAAAUGGAAGAAAUCAAUUCAAAAACAAAAAGAAUAUCUUUUACAAUCCAGUUGCAAAAUAGGAACUACUACAAUUGGUCUAAGCAAAAAGAAAUGUGAUCCAGCAAAAGGAUGCUUACAAGCUUGUCAGCACUGGGGAAGCAGCUGUCGCACUGUCUCCUUAGAACUCACUACCAAGUAACUGUCGCCCAAAAACCUACCCCUGUAGCGGAUGCGACGUCCCCCCGCCGCUGUGCUGCGCAUGUGUGGACACCGCCCCGCACUACCCACCCACCCCC